AGGAUUAACGCUGGCGGCGUGCCUAACACAUGCAAGUCGAACGAGGUAGCAAUACCUAGUGGCAGACGGGUGAGUAACGCGUGGUCAACCUACCGUUGAGUGGGGGAUAGCUAGCCGAAAGGUUAGCUAAUACCGCAUACGAGUCUCGGGGGCAUCCCUGGGCCUUAAAAGGAGCAAUCCGCUCGAUGACGGGACCGCGUCCCAUUAGCUAGAUGGUGGGGUAAUGGCCUACCAUGGCUCCGAUGGGUAGCUGGUUUGAGAGAGCGACCAGCCACACUGGGACUGAGAAACGGCCCAGACUCCUACGGGAGGCAGCAGUGAGGAAUUUUCCGCAAUGGGCGAAAGCCUGACGGAGCGACGCCGCGUGUGGGAAGAAGGCCUUCGGGUCGUAAACCACUGUCGAAGGGGACGAUAAUGACGGUACCCUUGGAGGAAGCCCCGGCUAACUACGUGCUAGCAGCCGC
rnacentral:rRNA from 1 species